rnacentral:rRNA from 1 species
AUUGAACGCUGGCGGCAUGCCUUACACAUGCAAGUCGAACGGCAGCACGGGAGCAAUCCUGGUGGCGAGUGGCGAACGGGUGAGUAAAGUAUCGGAACGUGCCCAGUCGUGGGGGAUAACGUAGCGAAAGUUACGCUAAUACCGCAUACGAUCUAUGAAUGAACGCGGGGGAUCGCAAGACCUCGCGCGAUUGGAGCGGCCGAUAUCAGAUUAGGUAGUUGGUGGGGUAAAGGCUAACCAAGCCGACGAUCUGUAGCUGGUCUGAGAGGACGACCAGCCACACUGGGACUGAGACACGGCCCAGACUCCUACGGGAGGCAGCAGUGGGGAAUUUUGGACAAAGGGCGAAAGCCUGAUCCAGCCAUGCCGCGUGCAGGAUGAAGGCCUUCGGGUUGUAAACUGCUUUUGUACGGAACGAAAAGGUUUGGCCUAAUAAGCUGAGCUCAUGACGGUACCGUAAGAAUAAGCACCGGCUAACUACGUGCCAGCCGCCGCUGUAAAAC